rnacentral:SRP_RNA from 1 species
GGCGAUCCUCCGCGUGGCGGCAUCGCACGAACCUCCCCAGGGCCGGAAGGCAGCAAGGAUAAGGGCGCUCUGCUGGGUGCGCGGAGGGUCCUUUCU